AAGGAAUAUCCUGUAUAAUGGA
rnacentral:miRNA from 1 species